AUGCCGCUCCCGAUGCGCCGCCUCGCCGCCGCUCCCUCCCUCCCAGCCGUGCACCCGCACGACUCCCCCGCGCCCCCCUCCGUUCGCCUCCGACGACAGCAUGGCCGGGUGUCGAUGGAGAGGUCCUCGACGACGACGUCCCGAGGUGUUAGUUGUGUGAUGGCAAGUGGUAAGGAGCAUGCAGCAACUACUAGUGGUGAUGAAAAGAAAGGUGGACUGCGUGGCAAACUGAAAAAAGUUGUUCUAGCUUACAGUGGUGGCUUGGAUACAUCAGUAAUUGUUCCAUGGCUUAGGGAGAACUAUGGCUGUGAAGUUGUCUGUUUCACUGCUGAUGUUGGUCAGGGUGACAUUGAAUUGGAAGGAUUGGAGAAAAAGGCAAAAGCUAGCGGUGCAAGCCAGCUUGUUGUGAAGGACUUGACAGAAGAAUUUGUUGGUGAAUAUAUAUACCCCUGCUUGCGUGCUGGUGCAGUUUACGAAAGAAAGUAUCUGCUUGGGACUUCCAUGGCUAGGCCUGUUAUUGCUAAGGCAAUGGUUGAUGUUGCCAAGGAAGUUGGCGCAGACGCAGUUGCCCAUGGGUGCACUGGGAAGGGCAACGAUCAGGUUCGCUUUGAGCUUACAUUUUAUGCCUUAAAUCCGGAACUUAAAGUGGUGGCACCCUGGAGGGAGUGGGAUAUCACAGGACGUGAAGAUGCAAUUGAGUAUGCAAAGAAACACAAUGUGCCAAUUCCGGUUUCAAAGAAAUCAAUAUACAGCCGAGAUAGAAAUUUGUGGCACCUUAGCCAUGAGGGUGACAUUUUGGAAGAUCCAGCGAAUGAACCAAAAGAAGAUAUGUAUAUGAUGUCUGUUUCUCCAGAAAAUGCACCUUCAAAACCUGAGUAUCUGGAGAUUGGCAUAGUCGCUGGCGUCCCUACUUCUAUCAACGGAAAAGAUCUCUCACCAGCAACUCUCCUCGCCAAGCUCAAUGAAAUCGGCGGAAAGCACGGGAUCGGGCGCAUCGACAUGGUGGAGAACCGCCUGGUGGGGAUGAAGUCCCGCGGCGUCUACGAGACCCCCGGCGGCACCAUCAUGGCGGCCGCGGUCCGUGAGCUCGAGUCACUGACGCUAGACAGGGAGACGAUGCAGUGGAAGGACAUGCUGGCCCUCAAGUACGCGGAGCUCGUCUACGCGGGGCGCUGGUUCGACCCGCUCCGGCUGUCCAUGGACGCCUUCAUGGAGACCAUCACCGCGACGACGACCGGCUCGGUGACCCUGAAGCUGUACAAGGGGUCGGUGACGGUCGCGUCCCGGAAGAGCCCCUACAGCCUGUACAGGGAGGACAUCUCGUCGUUCGAGAACGGGGAGAUCUACGACCAGGCUGACGCGGAAGGUUUCAUCAGGCUGUACGGCCUCCCCACCCGGGUCCGCGCGAUGCUGGAGAAGGGAAUCUGA
rnacentral:rRNA from 1 species